CCCGUUAAUGAGUUCUGUGAGCUAAGAUGAACGAACAAUAUGCACUAGGUAGGAUUCCAGAGAAGAGGAGGUGAGUCAUUAAGACCGCUUAAGUACCAAGCUCUCCCUAGAUCCAAUCCUAGACAUGCAUAUACCCGUUGCCACACCUUAACCCUUUGACAUGUCCACGGUCGCAAUAUAUUAAUUAAGUCUUAUGUGGAUAUCAUAUACUAGGCCCAAAACCCCUUACAAAGCCCAAACAAAUUCACAUACCUAUAUCUGGCCCAUUAAGCCCAAUCAUAUUCAUAUGGCCCGUUAGGC
rnacentral:lncRNA from 1 species